rnacentral:rRNA from 1 species
UACGUAGGGUGCAAGCGUUGUCCGGAUUUAUUGGGCGUAAAGAGCGUGUAGGCGGCCAGACAAGUCUGCUGUGAAAACUCGAGGCUCAACCUCGAGCUGUCGGUGGAAACUGUCUGGCUAGAGUCCGGAAGAGGAGAGUGGAAUCCUGGUGUAGCGGUGAAAUGCGCAGAUAUCAGGAAGAACACCGAGCGAGCGAGCUCUGGUGGAGCGGUCACUGGACGCUAGACGCGAAAGCGUGGGAGCGGACAGGA